rnacentral:tRNA from 1 species
GCGGGAGUGGUGGAAUUGGUAGACACGCUGGAUUUAGGUUCCAGUGCCGCAAGGUGUGAGAGUUCGAGUCUCUCCUUCCGCA